GGAAAAAAUAACCUUAAAAUAUAUGUAGUAGAUUAAAUGUCAAAAUAUAGCCAGAAUACAUUAACUAGAAGAACAAUACAGGCCUACUCAAGGACCCUUUUGAUGAGGAAGAGAGGGAAGAAGAGGAGGAGUAAGAAAGGGAGAAGGAAAGAAAAGAGGGAAGGAGGAGGAGGGAGAGGAGGAAGAAAAGGACAAAAAACGACGGUCGAGCCCCAUUCCAGGGUCCAUUAUGAGGAGAACUGAAGAAUCUAUUUGGAUGUACUGAGGAUUUCAGAACUUCCCUCUCAAUCCUGAGUGAUCCACCUCCGGACCAUGACAUGAGAGAAGAAUAAACAUUGUCUUAUUUGAGCAGCU
rnacentral:lncRNA from 1 species